UUCCGAGAGAAAAAAGCUAACGGCUGCC
rnacentral:sRNA from 1 species